rnacentral:rRNA from 1 species
CUUUGUAACUCCUUGUCAAAGCCUGAUCUCAUCAGAUCUCAGAAGCUAAGCAGGGCUAGGCCUGGUUAUUUAGAUAGUACUUGGAUGAGAGACCACUGGGAAUACCAGGUGUCUCAGUGG